rnacentral:misc_RNA from 1 species
AACCAUAGAAACCUGCGGAGUACCUGCGGAGGGAUCAUUAACAAAUCUGAGUUGUGAGUGCGCGGUAAGUGUGCACAAUAUAUGUGUACACUUCCCCACUUGCAUAUUUACCCCGAGCCGGUCUAAACAGCCGGCUUUGGUUUUGGACCUUUGCGGGUUCAAGGCGAUGGUUUAACCCGUGUGCACGGGCGUGUGCGGGAUGUAGAGUGUGGUAAGACUUGCCGUUAUGCGGUGAGUCCC